rnacentral:rRNA from 1 species
UCUUACCAUGCAAGUCGACGAUGACGGUGGUGCUUGCACCGCCUGAUUAGUGGCGAACGGGUGAGUAACACGUGAGUAACCUGCCCUCCACUUCGGGAUAACCUCGGGAAAUCGUGGCUAAUACCGGAUAUGAGCACUCAUCGCAUGGUGGGUGUUGGAAAGAUUUAUCGGUGGGGGAUGGACUCGCGGCCUAUCAGUUUGUUGGUGAGGUGAUGGCUCACCAAGACGAUGACGGGUAGCCGGCCUGAGAGGGCGACCGGCCACACUGGGACUGAGACACGGCCCAGACUCCUACGGGAGGCAGCAGUGGGGAAUAUUGCACAAUGGGCGAAAGCCUGAUGCAGCGACGCCGCGUGGGGGAUGACGGCCUUCGGGUUGUAAACCCCUUUCAGUAGGGAAGAAGCGAGAGUGACGGUACCUGCAGAAGAAGCGCCGGCUAACUACGUGCCAGCAGCCGCGGUAAUACGUAGGGCGCAAGCGUUGUCCGGAAUUAUUGGGCGUAAAGAGCUUGUAGGUGGCUUGUCGCGUCUGCCGUGAAAACCCGAGGCUCAACCUCGGGCGUGCGGUGGGUACGGGCAGGCUAGAGUGUGGUAGGGGAGACUGGAACUCCUGGUGUAGCGGUGAAAUGCGCAGAUAUCAGGAAGAACACCGAUGGCGAAGGCAGGUCUCUGGGCCAUUACUGACACUGAGAAGCGAAAGCAUGGGUAGCGAACAGGAUUAGAUACCCUGGUAGUCCAUGCCGUAAACGUUGGGCACUAGGUGUGGGGGACAUUCCACGUUUUCCGCGCCGUAGCUAACGCAUUA